GCUCACCCAGUCUCCACUCCUUCAAAAAAUCAUUAAAAACCCACUUCUUCAUAAAAGCGUAUCAAUUAAACUGUUAAGAGCUCCUGACUGAUUCCUCUUCUGCAACUGUCACUAGUCUAAUACUAUCCUUACCUUUUUGUGUCAUUUUACCCCACUCCCUCUAGCAUGUAAGCUCAUUGAGCCGGGCCCUCAACCCCUCUGUUCCUGUGUGUCCAACUUGUCUGGU